GGCAGUUUAGCUUAAAGUUCAGAGCACCGCGACUUGUAAUCAUGGUGAUGUGAGUUCGAGUCUCAAAGCUGGCU
rnacentral:tRNA from 1 species